UAAUUUGUAAAAGCUAGAAUAGGUCCAAAAGUUAAUGACAACCUUUUUAAGUAGAUAAAAAGUAAGACUCUAUUUUAAUAGAUGAUAAGACAUCAUACACUUCCUACAAAGAAUCUAUCCACGCUUCGACGUUGAAAACUGAACUCAUUCAGAACUUUCACAUAUAGGAAUAAUCUUAUAAUGGUUACAACAAGGGGUAUUCAUAAAGGAAAGGAAGUUUUAUCCCGAGAUUCACUCUUCAUUGAUCAAUGAUCAUAAACUAAUAAUAUAUGUACUAUCUUACAAUUUUAAGUUAUUUAGAAAUAGAAAGAUGUUA
rnacentral:lncRNA from 1 species